AUGUGGUCGUGUGCUGAUCCUCCUUUUGAUUUGUUAUCAGUUUACUUCUUUAUCACUAGAGAUCAACAUGCACAGCCCGGACUUCCUGGUUACAGAGAGUCUGCACAGUCCUGCUCGCAUAAGACAAUCAGAGACGAAAUUAAAAUGCGAUCAGAGCUCGGCACAGGGAGGGAAGACUGUGUCCGCUACUGCAACAGCUGCUGUGAGGACUUCCUGUCUGUGUCUCCAAGUCAGUCACGUGGGGAGAGAACAGUGCUGCCUGGGCUGGGCUGUUCAACAACGUCUGCUUUUGAUCUUAAUCUUUCCAGAGUUUCUGCUGAUGCCACUCCAGGAACCAACACCUGCUUCUGCUGCUUCCUGAGCAUCCAUCUGUGUGCUGAACGUGGGAGCAGAGAAAGAGAAAAUGCUGGCAGGGGGAUUGUAGUUAGCAUUUGUCACCCCGGCGCCAAGCAAAUGAAGGUCAGGGAAGUACACCUCGAUCACAACGGCUCGUAUCAUGUUAAAUAACACACACACGUACAUGCGGAGUUGGUGCUGAUGAGGUGGUGGCUCAGCUACACACACUUCCUGUCCUAUCAUCCCUCCUGGUGCUGCCUGUCAACUGAUAUCUCACACUUUCACGUGCAUUAUUCAACAUCCACUCGCGCACAUUCAGGACAAACAGUGCAGCAGAAUGAGUGUGUGAGCAUGCAGCUCGCUCUGUGCCGCUGACAUACGUUACCUCAGUCAGCCCGAGAGGACCGGUCCAGAGUCAGAGAUCUUUCCUCCUGUGCCAUCUGUCAGACAAACAAAUGUUCCUCCUGAUCCCUCCUGUCCGCUCCUUGCUUCACAAAAACAAAGUCCUGCGUUACUGGAGAGGGAGGGGGGGGGGGGCGCCCUCCACCAGCGGGGAACCCUCUUUGACUCUCCAGCCAAGCUGAAGACACUUUGGAUUCCCAAUCACGAGAGAGGAGACUCCCUCCUUUUCCAAGAGACCUGCUACUCGCUCCUGCUCCUGCUCAAAUGCCAAUCCUCCACAAUCUCUCCCUCUCCCUCUCCCUCUCCCUCUCCCUCACUCCCUCUCUCUCUUUCCCUCCCUCCCUUUGAGUCUUACCUCAUGCUCCCCUUCCAGAGUCGAUUCCUUGUGCACUCACUUGCUCAAGCAUAGAAUUUAUCCUCUGUGCUGCAGAUGAAUGCUUUGUCAUUUCAAAUAAUUGAAUACUUCAAGACUAACUGGGUCUGAGCCAGUAUCUCCAGAAAGAAGUGAUGAAAAGGAUGCUGAUAAUUAGGCAUAAAGCUCCCCAUUUUAUUGCUAGUCACUGAAUAAUGCAGUUUAUCUUUAAAGUUAUGUUAGAAUUCUUCAAAGUCACAACAGAUUUCAGCUAAUUCAUGUAUCAUCCAGACACAAUGAAGUGUUUGUAGGGAUACUAUGAGACUCUGUUACCAGAUGAAUAUAAUUAAAAGCCACUUUGUUCCCUCAGUGGGGAAAAACUCUUAAUUAAUGUUAUUAAGGACAUUGUGUUCAUGAUGACUUUAUAUCGAUAUAGCUGCAGUGAAGUCUGGAAAGUUAUGAUAAAAUGAGUGCAGAAAAUAUGUCCUGGGUGAUUGUUGUUGAAAGAAAUACAUUUAGAAAUCAGUGAAAGAACAAACAUGAAAGUUUGUCGAAAUGUAAAACAAAGGUCCAAGCCAACAAAACAGAGAGAACAAAGAGAGAGAAACACAUCUUUUUAUCCACGAACCGAAUGACCCUGAAGGAGAUGAGCGAUCUGGGGGAUGAGACACCUUCAAUGGCUGAGAAGGGAGAGACUCUGCAGCCAAUCUUGUCUGGGUUCUUCAUCGCCCUCGUCUUCAUGUUGGGGACACAGAGACAAAAGAAAUUUCCACUUGAAUU
rnacentral:lncRNA from 1 species